UCUGUCUCUCUGUCUCUCUGUCGAGGCACAGGAACCGUUCCCAUAGACUUACAGUUCUAUGGCUAUUAGUAUCUUAUUUCUAACUUAUACUGAGGAGGAGCUAGGUGCGCGUAAGACCUGAUCGCAAAAGAAUAGUGCAGGGGCGUUUGGUGGAAUUUAUAGGGUGUAGUUGCGUCGGACGUAACAUGGGAAACGAAUUCUAUAUUGGACCGUCCGGCACGGAAGAUUACCGUAAUCGAUUCGGCUCAAAUAUCUAGUCGAACCGAAGAUCAUACAUUCAUUGUUGCCACAGAUUACUGCAAGACAGUUAUCCUGAAACCAAUAAUUCAAGACGUCAAUGUCGUCCUGUACGCGGUCCAACUCACUAACAAGAUCAUCCGUUCUAAAGUGAAGUAAGAACAACGCAGGUCCCAGUACAGACCCCUAUGGCACUCCAGAGGGAACAGCAGUGAUCGAGGAAACCAAAUCCGCGGAUCCGAUAACCGCAUGUGAUCGCCCGCUGAGGUAUGAUGCAAACCUGCGAAGAGCAUGAAUUGAGAAUCCUUGGGCCCAGAGAGCUUCAAGCAACUUCUUAUGACAGACAGAAUCAAAUGCUCUCCGAAGAUCGAAGAGGACUAAGAUGGUUACCAUCCGCUUAUAAAUACCGAACCUAAUGUCAUCAAGAACACGUGGGCUUCACAAGCUGCUGACAUCCGCAGGCAAGGAUGCCCGCGAGCGAUGGGACUUGGGGAUCCGCCGGAUAAAUGACCGUUUCCAGGCACUAGGGA